UGGGGAAUAUUGGACAACGGGCGCAAGCCUGAUCCAGCAAUGCCGCGUGUGUGAAGAAGGCCUUCGGGUUGUAAAGCACUUUUAUCAGGAGCGAAACGCUGUCGGCUAAUACCCGGCGGAACUGACGGUACCUGAGGAAUAAGCACCGGCUAACUUCGUGCCAGCAGCCGCGGUAAUACGAAGGGUGCAAGCGUUAAUCGGAAUUACUGGGCGUAAAGCGUGCGUAGGCGGUUUCUUAAGUCUGCUGUGAAAUCCCCGGGCUCAACCUGGGAAUGGCAGUGGAUACUGGGAGGCUAGAGUGUGUCAGAGGGUGGUGGAAUUCCCGGUGUAGCGGUGAAAUGCGUAGAGAUCGGGAGGAACAUCAGUGGCGAAGGCGGCCACCUGGGGACAACACUGACGCUGAGGCACGAAAGCGUGGGGAGCAAACAGGAUUAGAUACCCUGGUAGUCCACGCCCUAAAGCGAUGCGAACUGGAUGUUGGUCUCAACUCGGAGAUCAGUGUCGAAGCUAACGCGUU
rnacentral:rRNA from 1 species